AUAUCAAUUUUAUACAGAAUAAAAUAAAAAAAGAAGUUUCUAUUAUUUUGGUUUAGCAUCAAUUUUUAUUUCAUUACAGUACAAUACUGACUUACACUACUCUUACAUGAAGUUCAAAUUCUCUGAAACCUUAUAACUUUAAAAAAGAUCACAGAAAUAAAAAGAAUGUAUAUCCUUUAUUCAAAACAAAGCUUGAUAUGUCUUAUUAAAUAAAGCAUACUAUUCAAACCAUUACUGCCUUAA